rnacentral:lncRNA from 1 species
AAAGAACGAAGCUUUAACUCUUUGGCUAAAAGAUUGCAAUAAGGGGAUAUAAGACUAUUUAUUAUUAUAGUCUAUGUUACUCGGACUAGUGCUUGAAUGUUGAAUACAUUUUCUAAGUUUUUUCAUAUAUUUGGAGAAUCAUGCUAUUUUGUACUCAUGUUUGAAUAUGUGUUGGAUGCAUGUAUUCUAAUGAAAAUGAAGAGUCCGAAUAACUUAGAACAAGGUAGAUCAUUUACAGUUAAUUUAAAGAUAGGAAAUUCUGGAAGUAAAUAAAAUUCCAUUUUAUUGAUGCGUUUUGAAUUGUCAUUUUCCAUACUGAUUGAUAGAAGUUACAGUAAUCACCAUCUCUAAUUUUUCACUUAGGGAGAUUUGUAUCUGCUCCCCAAGGCAAAAAGGAUGGAGGAAAAAAUGUUUACAUGGUGUUAGUGAUUUUUGCUUUACAAAAUUGUAUAGGCUGAUUUGUGUUGAUUCUCUCACAAUCAAUUCAAACGAGAGGUAACAUCGAGAAAAAUGUCUUCGUUGCAGGGAAUUGUGAGACCGCCUGUAGGAUGACUAUAUCCAAACUCUUCUUGUGACAUGCCAAGCAAAUCUUGGAAUAAAGGCUGGCUCAAGAAUGACACUGGUAUCACGAACCUCUUCUGGUUUUCUCCAACAUAAACUGCAAAGUAGCCCUUGGGAACUUUCUUAGAACCAACGAUACGAGGCAAGCGGAUAGCCAUGGUUGUUUUCCAAUAGAGGUAUGCUUCAAAAGGGUAGAAGAAGAUCUCAGAGAACUGUAGUACUUUGAGGAUGUGAAGAUAUGUGUUGCAUAUGAGCAUAAUCAUACUUGUAUAUAUAGAUGUAAGAGGGCCAAAGGGAAUGAGUGGUGAAGGGACAUAUUGCUGGGGUCUGAUCAGUACUGAGAAGGACAUGGGUUCAU